rnacentral:rRNA from 1 species
AGGGAGGGAACCCUGACCCAGCAACGCCGCGUGAAGGAAGAAGGCUUUCGGGUUGUAAACUUCUUUUACCAGGGACGAAGAAAGUGACGGUACCUGGAGAAAAAGCCACGGCUAACUACGUGCC